GAUGUUCUUCAUGAUGGUGUCGUAGAUUCGGCGUGAUUGACCGCAGUUCGUGGAUUCGGAUUGUGAGCUUCGUGGAUUCGGAGUGGAGGCGUUUUGUGGAUUCGGAACGUGAGGGCGUGGACAACCCGAAGGAUUGCGCGAGAUUCGUAAGAGGUUAAGAGAGGUUAAGAGAGGUCGAGUCCGUGGAGUCGGUAAUCACCUUGUAAUCUUUUCUCUUAGUGAAUUGUAUUUUCGCGUGUU
rnacentral:lncRNA from 1 species